GCUCUUUGAGGUCAGUCCACAUGAGAAUUUAGUCUCGGUAAAAAAAUCAUUAUUCAUCCCCAGUAUAACCAAACAAGCUUCAGAAGGGACAUUGCUCUGGUCAGGUUGUCCAGCCCGGUCAACUACACUAACUACAUCCUGCCAAUCUGCCUGCCGGGUUCAUCAGUCGUCUUCCCAACUGGUUUGGAAUGCUGGGCAACCGGAUGGGGUAAUAUGAACUCAGAAGGUCAGUACCAAAUUUCCAUUACACCUACUACCAGAAUUAAUUGGUUUCUCACUUCUACCGAUCAUCACUAAAUCACCUAAAAUAGAAUUAAUGUAAAUUCUACAAAACUGGUUCAUGGAUUGCAAGAUAAGACAAGACGGGGGAUGUGAUAGAAAUAUUUAAAGGAUCACUAUAGGGUCAGGAACACAAACAUGUAUUCCUGACCAUAUAGUGUUAAACCCACCAUCUUGCCCCCCUGGCCCCUCAUGCCUCCAUAAAUAUAGCAAAAUCAUACUGUAUUCAAGCUAGAAGCUGUAACUCUGCAUGCUGUUAGACUCAGAAAAACAAGCAGUCUGCUGACAUCAUCAGAAGUGGUAGCCUGAUCCAAUCACAAUGCUUCCCUAUAGGAUUGGCUGAGACUGACAAAGAGGCAGAUCAGGGGCAGAGCCAGCACAAUUCAAACACAGCCCUGGCCAAUCAGCAUCUCCUCAUAGAGAUGAAUUGAAUCAAUGAAUCUCUAUGAGGAAAGUUCAGUGUCUGCAUGCAGAGGGAGGAGAUACUGAAUGUUUGGAUGCAUUUUAGGCAGCUAUGACCCAGGAAGGAUCUCUAACAGCUAUCUGAGGAGUGGCCAGUGAAGUUAUCACUAGGCUGUAAUGUAAACACUGCAUUUUCUCUGAAAAGACCCUAUUUACAGCAAAACGCCUGAAGGUAAUGAUUCUACUCACCAGAACAAAUUCAAUAAGCUGUAGUUGUUCUGGUGACUAUAGUGUCCCUUUAAAUACAUAAAGGGAAUCAACACAGUAAAGGAGGAGACUAUAUUUAAAAGAAGAAAAACUACCACAACAAAAGGACAUAGUCUUAAAUUAGAGGGGCAAAGGUUUAAAAGUGCCAUGGCUUACCUGGGUGUCCCCCGCUAUGUUUCCGUCCACUCCUGCGGCGCCUCCUCCUCGCUGCACACCCAAGGACAAAUGACUGGCAUCACUCUGACUCAUGGACGCGGCACUCCAUGCCACGCCCGACCCGCGGGAAGCCCCAGCCGAACCCACGUGUAAACUUCACUCACUCUAGGCAAGCGCACACCUGACAGCCGGACAGAACACCUGAAACAUCUUAUAGGGCUAAUCACUGUUUAACCAAUGAUUUGUGAGCGGUGGAUACCUCUCCCCUAUAUAAACCCGGUUAACCACUACCUCAGUGCUCAGUUAUACUGUGCUCUUCGGUAUAUACACUUCUGUAGAUCCUGUAUUAUCCAACUCUUAACCUAUCUGCCUGUUACACCAUUCCUGUACCUGCGCUGCCUGCCCUCGAUCUUGGCUUACCCUUACUAUGAGACUGUCUUAUUCUCAAUUGGUACCUCACUUUUGGCUCGCUCCUGCAUCCUGUCAAAGACCCAACAAAAAGGAAUAUCAGGAAGUAUGACUUUACUGAGAGGGUAGUGGAUGCAUGGAAUAGCCUUCCAGCUGAAGUGGUAGAGGUUAACACAGUGAAGUAGUUUAAGCAUGCGUGGGAUAGGCAUAAGGCUAUCCUAACUAUAAGAUAAGGCCAGGGACUAAUGAAAGUAUUUAGAAAAUUGGGCAGACUAGAUGGGCCGAAUGGUUCUUAUCUGUAAAGUAAAGCUUAAGUAAAAUUAAAAAAAAAAAAAUCAAAUUCAACUAAUGAAAUUAUCACAUGAAAUAAUCCUGUGUCUGUUCUGUAGCCUUCUCAUGGACCCCAACUCUUUUCUCCACAUUUACAAUAAAUUAUGGCAAUAUUCUAUAUAAAUAACAACAUUGCUACAAUCCUCAAAGCAACGUGGCUUAUGUUUUUGCAGACCUGAAUUAAAUGGAUAAAUAUGGAGACAGUAACUGAGUUUUCAACAAAUUAUCG